AAAAUUAAAAGUYUAAUYUGCCCAAUGAUUUUUGAAUGGCCGCGGUAACUUGACUGUGCAAAGGUAGCAUAAUUAUUAGUCUUUUAAUUGAAGGCUUGAAUGAACGAUUGAAUGAAAAAUAAACUUUAUUAAUAAAAUUAAUUUAAUUUAGUAUUUAAGUAAAAAUUCUUAAAUAAUUAAGUGGGACGAGAAGACCCUAUAGAAUUUAAAUAUUUUUUAUUAUUGUAAAAUUGAAGAAUUAUUAUUUUAAAAUAAAAAAAAUUUUUUUGUUGGGGUGACAUUAAAAAUUAGUUAACUUUUAAUUAAUAUAACAUUAAUAUAUGUUUUUUGAUCCAAUUUUUUUUUGAUUAUAAGAUUUAAUUACCUUAGGGAUAACAGCGUUAUUAAUUUGAAGAGUUCAAAUCGAUAAAUUAGUUUGCGACCUCGAUGUUGGAUUAAYAAAAAAUUUUGAAGCAUCAUUUAAAAUUUUAGGUCUGUUCGACCUUUAAAUUCUUACG
rnacentral:rRNA from 1 species